rnacentral:rRNA from 1 species
GACGAACGCUGGCGGCGUGCUUAACACAUGCAAGUCGAGCGGUAAGGCCCUUCGGGGUACACGAGCGGCGAACGGGUGAGUAACACGUGGGUGACCUGCCCUCCACUUCGGGAUAAGCCCGGGAAACUGGGUCUAAUACCGGUUAGGACCUCCUCAUGCAUGUGGGGUGGUGGAAAGCUUGUGUCUUUGAUGCUUGCGGUGGGGGAUGGGCCCGCGGUCUAUCAGCUUGUUGGUGGGGUGANGGCCUACCAAGGCGACGACGGAUAGCCGGCCUGAGAGGGUGAUCGGCCACACUGGGACUGAGACACGGCCCAGACUCCUACGGGAGGCAGCAGUGGGGAAUCUUGCGCAAUGGGCGGAAGCCUGACGCAGCAACGCCGCGU